UGAAGCAAAAACAGCCCAACUUCCAAUACUGAUUAUUUUGGACCAGGACCUUACAGAGAAGAGGACACUUCUUUGGAAAAAAUAAAGGAGUGAGGCAAGCAAGGAAAGUGGUUUUCUGACGAGACUGAAAAUAAAGCAGGAUUUAGAGAUCCACCAGCCUCUGGGAGCCCCAGGAAGAGCAAGUAAGAUAAACGGUGGAUAAACCCAUCCCCUGUUCUACCUUGAACUCGAGAGAAGAGACAACUGGUUGACGAUUUGCAUCAUCAGAAGAAGACAGGCAUGCGAAGACAGACGCAUACGGAAAACAUCACAUGAAGACGGAAGAUUGGAGUGGUGCUUUUACAAACCAAAGAAUGCCAAAUUUUGCUGAUAAACCACUAGAAGCAAGGAAGAAGCAAGGAAGGACUCCCAUAUAGGUUUUAGAGAAAGUGGGGCCCUGCCAACACCUUGAUUUCAGACUUCUAGUUUCUGGAACUUUGAGAAAAUAAAUUUCUAUUGUAAAACACCUAGUUUGUGGUACUUUGAUAUGAUAGCUUUAGGAAACUAAUACCAUGGGCUUUAUUUUAUAAAUAUAUAUAUAUAUUUAAGUAGCCUCCAUGCCCAAUGUAGGACUUGAACUCAUGACACUGAGAAAUCAAGAGUUGCUUGCUCUCCUGAGCCAGCUGGGCACCCCUAUACUCUUGUAUUAUUAGAUAUUUUACCUUGGAUAUGAUUGAACUCUUCAACCAAAGGAAAAAUGUUCACUUAGCCUUGUUAGUCAUCAGGAAAAUGCAAAUUAAAAUUACAAUGUAAGACCAUUACACACGCACCAGAAUAUCUAAAAUUUAAAAGACCACUCAAAGUUGGUGAGGCUGUAGAGCAACUGGAACUAUAUAUUGUUAGUAGAACAUAGUUGUUAUAACCACUUGGAAAACUGUUUAUUUAUUUAUUUAUUUUAAAGAUUUUAUUUAUUUA